GACGAACGCUGGCGGCGUGCUUAACACAUGCAAGUCGAACGGAAAGGCCCUGCUUUUGUGGGGUGCUCGAGUGGCGAACGGGUGAGUAACACGUGAGUAACCUGCCCUUGACUUUGGGAUAACUUCAGGAAACUGGGGCUAAUACCGGAUAGGAGCUCCUGCUGCAUGCUGGGGGUUGGAAAGUUUCGGCGGUUGGGGAUGGACUCGCGGCUUAUCAGCUUGUUGGUGGGGUAGUGGCUUACCAAGGCUUUGACGGGUAGCCGGCCUGAGAGGGUGACCGGCCACAUUGGGACUGAGAUACGGCCCAGACUCCUACGGGAGGCAGCAGUGGGGAAUAUUGCACAAUGGGCGGAAGCCUGAUGCAGCAACGCCGCGUGCGGGAUGACGGCCUUCGGGUUGUAAACCGCUUUCGCCUGUGACGAAGCGUGAAUGACGGUAAUGGGUAAAGAAGCACCGGCUAACUACGUG
rnacentral:rRNA from 1 species